rnacentral:lncRNA from 1 species
CUCUGUGGGACCUGGCCAGAGGGUGACACAGCUCAUCUCCGUGCUCCUUUAUUGCUGUUCCUUUUCCCUCUUUGUGGUGACACUUGUCUCCAUCCCUGAGCAGGGCAAUGCUGGCCCCAGGGGCCUUCCUGGAAUUCCCGGUCCAGGAGCUGCCACGGGGGAAAUUGGAGGGAAAGGCCAGAAGGGAGAGAAGGGCCGAGAAGGUUUGCUGGCAAGUACAGCUGGGGCUGGGUGGCCAAAGUGAUGGGUGCCAAGGAGGGGAUGCACCCCUGGUGGGAAACCUUGGGCUCUGGGAGCUGCAGAAAAUCCUAGGAAUUGUCAAAUUAGGGAGUUUCAUGUCUCACAGGCAUGACACCAAAACUGGGCAUUGUUGGCACAAAAGGAUGGUUUGGGUUUGUGGGGCAGUUUGGGCAAUGCUGCCUCCAGCCAAAUUCCAGCCGCUGCUGGGCUGGGAACACAUCUCCCUGUGUGUGCCAGGGCCAGGGUGGUGUCACCGGAGCUGCAGGACCUGCUGGAGCCAGAGGAUGGUUUGGGGGGACAGGACUCCGAGGUCCUCCUGGGCUCGACGGUCCCGAGGGAGAGAAGGUACAGAGGGAUGAUGGAUCCAAUCCUUCAUCUCUGUGUGAAACUCCCUUUUCUGGCCUCUUCCCAAGCUUUCCUGGUGGGAAUGUGCUGGGAAUGUGCUGGGAGUGGCUGGAUGGCUGUCCUGGGCAGGCUGGUGACAGGGACACGCCUUGCUGCCUGAGCUCCAGAGCCAGCAAGGCAGGGAAGGGUUUUUCCAUGGACAGAGCUGUUUCCCUUCCUUUCCCAGGGAGAUCCAGGGCCACGAGGUGUGGAUGGACCUGCUGGGGCUGCAGGAUUCGAGGUGCUGAUUGAUGCCUGGAAUGUU